rnacentral:rRNA from 1 species
UACGAAGGGGGCAAGCGUUGUUCGGAAUUACUGGGCGUAAAGGGCGCGUAGGCGGUGCACUAAGUCAGGCGUGAAAGCCCUGGGCUCAACCCGGGAAUCGCGCUUGAUACUGGUGCGCUUGAAUCCAGGAGAGGUUGGUGGAAUUCCCAGUGUAGAGGUGAAAUUCGUAGAGAUUGGGAAGAACACCGGUGGCGAAGGCGGCCAACUGGACUGGUAUUGACGCUGAGGCGCGAAAGCGUGGGGAGCAAACAGG